UCAUCCUGGAUCCUCCCCAAGUCCCUGUGUGGGUAGAUGGCAUUUGCUCACGUGAUGAGGAUGGACUGGUUCUCCCUAUCUGGAAGAGGAAAGAAGAGAGGCAACAGAGUCAGGACCCCUCUGAGGCCAAAACCAGUAGAGGUCCCCCCAUCCCCGCCCCAGCAUCCUCUCUGGCAAAGGAUGUGCAUCCCUGGGAUGGUGCCCUGUUACAUCUGCUCAGGUCCAUCUGAGAAAGCAGUGACCUUGCCCCCUUCCCGGGACAGGAUCUUGGCCUUCACAAACUCCUCCUUGUCGUCGGGCACAAAGCAC